GCAAAGGGAGGAGGCGAGCGAGGGGAGGCGAAGCGGCGAUCCCAAACGCGCCGCGUCUAGGCCGGCCGCCGCCUCCUCGACUGGCCGGGGCGGCAGGCAGGCAGGAGCGUGCCCCGGCGCCGGGCUGCGGCCGGCGGAGGAGGCAGCUAGGCUAGGCACUCGCGGAGGGAAGGGAAGGUAAAGGGGUUUUGAGGCAAAGGGGUUUGAGGUAGGGAGGGAGGGGCUAGAUUAGGGCAGCGGCUUAGGUCGCGACGGCCGCUCCCUCCUACAGAGGCGGCGGCCGCAGCGGGCGCGAGAGGCGCGUCUUCGAGUGGUGGUUGCUGCGGGAGCGGAUGGAGUUCCGGCAGUUCCUGUUCAAGGUGCUGUUGGCGCGGUUCAUGCUGCUCAAGGAGCUCCAGUACGCGCUGAAGUUCUCGCGGUCCUAGCUGUGCCGCCCGCAGUAGUAGGCCCACUUCUGCGAGAAGUCGCCGAUGGGCCUCGAGUAGGAGCCGAAGUUGCGGAAGGACGGGUUCCCGAAGCGGUAGUUCGACGUCCUGUAGCUGCCGCCGCGGCGGCCGCUGUUCUUCGUCGGGCAGCUGAAGUACCUCCGGUAGUUGAAGCAGUUGUUCUAGUUCCGGUCCAAGGUCCGGGUCCUGGUGCAGAUGUUCCGGAAGGAGCGGUAGGAGUUGUACAUGGCGUACGUGUUGUUCAGGUAGGUCCUGCAUAUGGUCCUCCAACGAUACGACAAGGUACUGGUGCGGCUGGACGAGCUCCUCAAGUUCGUAAAGAACGGACUAUGCAGGUUGCGAGGCGUUCACGACCGGCGAGGAUUUCGGCAAAGGCGGUUUGUCCUCCGGGGGCGUGGCGGAAGACGGUCACGGUCCUUACACGUCUCGUAGUUCUCUCUCUCCGGAGUCGGCAGUUGACGACUCGCGCUGUCGUCACAACUAGCGGGACUAGAGCUCGUACUGGGGCUGUCCUUCGCACAGCUGUUCCUUUUCCUAGUAUUCUAGCUGGCCCUGUCUUUUCUAGUACUGUUCCUACGACUCAUGCUUUCGUUUCUAAACCUACCCCCUGACGCGUUCGCGUUUCGAAAUAGUUUCUUCGACCUCCCACUGUGUGUGGUUCCCCGCCGUUCGUAGAGACGAAGCAGCAUGUUACUAUUACUACGUUACUUUUCACGCAUGUGUGUUCUCAAGGAAAAGACACUCUUUCAGUUCCUCUUCGAUCUCGGACUUCGAAUGGUCCUCAAGAACUUUACGGAAGUGUAUAUGUCGGUCCUUUAUUAAUGUUCUUCACUUAACUUUUUAGACCAUGUACUGUAUGAAGUCGCGAUGGGUCUCGAAUACUGACCUAAAUCGCUCAAGAACCUUGUGACACUUUUGUAUCUACCAAAAGACCUACCUCAGUAGUUAUUUUCCGUUUGUAGUGCUUGUCAGUUCCGUGACCUGUUUCUCUCUCUAUUUCCCGCACGUCCCCUCCUGUCCCUUUCUCUACGACUUUUUGACUCGCUUUUCCUUGCUCUUUCCGAACUGUUUCACAGACGCGAGUUAAGAUUCCUUCGGUGAUGGGUGUUUCGACGACGCAAGAGACGGUUUCUCUUCAUGGAUACGUUCGGUUAUAGUCUCGAACUGGAGAGUUUGACAGUCGCCACGUGAGGGUCAAUGGCCGAAGACGGAUUUUUAAUGGGACACGGACGAAGUUCAACGUCUUGACUGGAACCUUAGAGACACGAGUUACUAGUGACCCAUAGUCAAUGGAGUCCUUCGCUUCUAAUAAGUAAAUUUGUGUACGCCUUCUUAGUCAUACUUCUUUCGAACAAAUCUACGCUUCUACUGUCCAAACUCAACCUGUACGACGACCUUAGUCAAUUACACCGCUAAUUCGCACAACUCCUCAACUAUCUUUUUUACGUUCUUUUAAGUUAGUUUGGUCUGUCGGGAUAUGCGUAGCUACUUGUAAACUGGAGAGACUUAAACUCCACGUAUCUUGCCGAUAUACCACUGGUACCGGAACUACAGUACCUACAAGAAGCAUUUUUACGCUCACACCGUAAUGGUCAAUAGAAUUGAUCCGAAUUCGUUUUCGUCCUCCUUACCAGUUCAAAGAUAAAGUUUGUUGUUCUAUGCUUCUUAGACUCGUGUUCUCGAGAUAACAGACUCUAGUUUCUUUAAUUACUCUUCUUUUCCUUUCUCCUACUACACGAAGAACGAUAACGACGACCCUUAUCCGCCGGUUAUCAAGGGUUAUACAGUAAACUCAUACAUCUAAGUCUUUAGGUACUUCUACAAAUAGUCUAGUAGUUCAUGAGAACACCUCUUCAGACGUCGAGAGGUCUAGUUCAACUGUUUCACUACUCUUGGACCUGUUGUAAACACCUUGGAUAAGACCCUCAAGUUGGGGCUUGUGAACGGCAACUUCUACGUCAGUGACAAUUCGUUCGAUUACCUCUACUUUCGUAAGGCUUCCUUUUUCGUGUUAGAAGAGCACCAAAUAACCGCUUACCUCAAAGUCUUCUACGAGUUUUACCAAAGGUACUACGACUAGCUUGACAGGCGUCUCCGCUCCCCGGUAGAUUGUGAAGUAAUGUAGUCUGACUUGUCUUAGUCGCCUCUUGUUUAUACCUCGAAUGCAGUCCAUGAUUAAGAAGGUCUCCAUUAAAGAGGCCUUCACUCCGACAACAACUUCGAUACCCACCGUUACUUUGUUAAGGUAGAUAUCCCUCUCCUCUUCGACCCUCCGGUCCUAGACACGGAGUCUUCUUAAGUUUCCAACUUUCUCUUCUCCCUCUUAAUAGAGGAUUACCCCUAAAACUUCUCCUCUUAAAACCCGGAGAUCCUUUACGUCGACCUCUGCCUCGAAGUUUCGGCUUCCUUCAAAGACGACCAUCUCGAUCUCGUCGACUCAAACGACCUCUCUUACUACGACUACGCCUGCUACUUCCACUGCUUUCACGGGUCUCUAGAUGUCUUUCACUUUUACGCAGACCAUCACUUAGACCACUGCCGCUCCUCACAAGAGCCCUUCUAUUGCUCCUGCUUCUCCUACGACUAGGACUACGAUUCCAACUUUCACUCCCACUCCGUCUCCCUUUGUGUCUCCGUGUACUACGGCUGCCUCCCUACAGUGAUGGCAAAAGUCUCGCAAACGUAUUAUGUCAAUCUGGCGAGCGGUUCGUACAGGGGUGUCGAAACGUCCUAGUACCGCCCUUCAAAAGUGCGUAUAAAAUACCUUUACUAAGUAAAAUACAAGACAAGUCCGAUGUGGUCUAGAAUAUGCUCUCUGAUGAUAGUCGGUUCUGUUUGAGAAGGUGCCGACUUUUCUUCACCUCUUGAAGGUUCCUAUGCUCGAGGGGUGUGGUUAUGAGUUUCAAAUACCCACGUGAAAUAUUGAACUAACUACCGAGAAGACUGUUGUGGUUUAAGCUCCUGCUGACGGCAAGUUAGUAGCCCUGAGUCAGGAUACAAGAAAAAUGUAAUCUAUUCGACUAUAUGUUUCAACACUUCGUCGAAGUUCGUUAUCGUCGACUACUUUACCUAUUGUUCGACGAGGUCGAAAUAUAUAUACUCUUCAGGUCCAGAGGACCUUCCAAGAAACUAGACCAAAUGGUACUUUUACGAGCCCAAGAAGAGGUACUGCUCUCGUAUAUAGCUAAACUUGCCGCGAGUUUAGGAUGCUCUAAUAGACAAGUCGAGUACCUCAUACCCGUACUUUUCGGACUUCAUUGGCGUCAGAGUUAACUAGGUUUGAAAAGCAGUAUAGAAAUACUGCUCAUGGACAGCUCAUAAAGCCUAAGUUUCCACAGACUUCUACACAAGGAACUCUCCUUAUUCGCCUUUGCGCCCUCGUCGUUACCGGGAGUUCGAAGCAACCGCCAGUACCUACCAAAGUUCCAGCGCUUACCGGAACUUACGUUCUAUUGGACGUUUAGGAGUUUCCAAAGCAUACAGGAACUAUGUCUUCUGAAAAAUAAGGCAUACUCCUUGUCCUCCUCUUAGAGCAGACCACGUUGUGGGCGGCGGCGUGGACCGUUCCGGCUAAAACAGUUCCGUCGACUACAGCACUUUCGCGUUGCCAAAGUAUUUAAAGAAGAAAGAUCCAGGAUCCCGGUACGACCGUCUAAGACGGUACGAUAGUAGAUUAGGUCUCUGCUGGGGCUGCACGAAACUUGUUUACGCCACCCAUUUUUCGUAAAACCUUCUUCUACUCGGCCACGGCUCUCCCGGCGACCUCGACCAUUUAUGGUUGGUUGGUUGGUUUCGUAAAACGCCGCCAGAACAACAAUUCAACAAUGGGCUAGGCUAGGCUACGCUACGCUACGGCGACGACGACCCUUACACAUAUAAUAAUUACAAUACAUAUUGGGUCUUCUCUUAGGUACUCCCUCCCCUCCCUCCCUCCCUCCAGGCUAGUUGACUAGUAACAAUCAACAAUGACAGGUAUACAAAAAAACAAACAACGACAAUGUAAACGAAACCACCACUUCGUUUACGUCUGAACUAAGUUUAGACCUGUAACGAUAUAUAUAAACAAACCACUACGGUAGACG
rnacentral:rRNA from 1 species